rnacentral:rRNA from 1 species
UGGAUCCAGACUUUGAUCAUGGCUCAGGAUGAACGCUAGCGACAGGCUUAACACAUGCAAGUCGAGGGGCAGCGGGGUAGAGAGCUUGCUCUCUACUGCCGGCGACCGGCGCACGGGUGAGUAACACGUAUGCAACCUGCCCGUGGCAGGGGGAUAAUCCGGAGAAAUCCGGUCUAAUACCGCGUAACACCCUUUGGAGGCAUCUCCAGGGGGUCAAAGGAAGCAAUUCCGGCCACGGAUGGGCAUGCGUCGCAUUAGGCAGUUGGCGGUGUAACGGACCACCAAACCGACGAUGCGUAGGGGUUCUGAGAGGAAGGUCCCCCACAUUGGAACUGAGACACGGUCCAAACUCCUACGGGAGGCAGCAGUGAGGAAUAUUGGUCAAUGGGCGGAAGCCUGAACCAGCCAAGUCGCGUGAGGGAAGACGGUCCUAUGGAUUGUAAACCUCUUUUGUCAGGGAGCAACGGCGGGACGUGUCCCGCGAUGAGAGUACCUGAAGAAAAAGCAUCGGCUAACUCCGUGCCAGCAGCCGCGGUAAUACGGAGGAUGCGAGCGUUAUCCGGAUUUAUUGGGUUUAAAGGGUGCGUAGGCCGGCCGGUAAGUCAGUGGUCAAAACGGGAGGCUCAACCUUCUGUCGCCAUUGAAACUGUCGGUCUUGAGUGAGCGAGAAGUAUGCGGAAUGCGUGGUGUAGCGGUGAAAUGCAUAGAUAUCACGCAGAACUCCGAUUGCGAAGGCAGCAUACCGGUGCUCAACUGACGCUGAAGCACGAAAGCGUGGGGAUCGAACAGGAUUAGAUACCCUGGUAGUCCACGCAGUAAACGAUGAAUACUAAUUGUCCGGCACGAACGAGUGCUGGGUGAUACAGCGAAAGCGUUAAGUAUUCCACCUGGGGAGUACGCCGGCAACGGUGCAACUCAAAUGAAUUGACGGA